rnacentral:rRNA from 1 species
GGGCGGAGUGUACAAGGCAUGCAAGUCGAACGAUACAGUGGCAAACGGGAGAGUGUGACAGUGGAACCUACCCUGCACACGAGGACAACCAUUAGAAAUGAUGGCUAAUACUCGAUAGUCUACUUCGGUAGUAAAACUCCGGUGGUGCAGGAGGGGCCUUUGGUCCAUCAGCUAGUUGGUAAGGUAAAAGCUUACCAAGGCGACGACGGAUAGCGGGUGUGAGAGCACGACCCGCCUCACUGGGACUGAGACACUGCCCAGACACCUACGGGUGGCUGCAGUCAAGAAUCUUCCGCAAUGCACGAAAGUGUGACGGAGCGACGCCGCGUGUGGGAAGACGCCUUUCGGGGUGUAAACCACUUUUAUAUGGGAAAAACUAGCGAUGGUACCAUAUGAAUAAGGGGCUGCUAACUUCGUGCCAGCAGCAGCGGUAAUACGAAGGCCCCAAGCAUUAUCCGGAUUUACUGGGCGUAAAGAGCUAAAAGGCUGCGUGAAAAGUCGAUUGUUAAAGCCCGGAGCUCACCUCCGGAUCUGCAAUCGAAACUAUCAUGCUAGAGAGUGGAAGAGGCAAGCGGAAUUGCCGGUGUAGCAGUAAAAUGCGUUAAUAUCGGUAGGAACACCAAUAGUGAAGACAGCUUGCUGGGACAUUUCUGACGCUAAAUAGCGAAAGCGUGGGUAGCGAAUGGGAUUAGAUACCCCAGUAGUCCACGCCGUAAACGCUGGAUGCUA